rnacentral:rRNA from 1 species
CCUACGGGAGGCAGCAGUGGGGAAUAUUGGGCAAUGGAGGAAACUCUGAUCCAGCAACGCCGCGUGAAUGAUGAAGGUCUUCGGAUUGUAAAGUUCUUUUCUAAGGGAAGAAGAUAGUGACGGUUCCUUAAGAAUAAGCCUCGGCUAACUACGUGCCAGCAGCCGCGGUAAUACGUAGGAGGGCAGCGUUAUCCGGAAUGACUGGGCGUAAAGGGGGCGUAGGUGGUAUGGCAAGUUAGUAGCGUAACUCCAAGGCUCAACCUUGGAACUACUACUAAAACUGUUGGACUUGAGUGCAGGAGGGGCAAGCGGAAUUCCUAGUGUAGCGGUGGAAUGCGUAGAUAUUAGGAGGAACACCAGUGGCGAAGGCGGGUUACUGGACUGUAACUGACACUGAGGCACGAAAGCGUGGGGAGCAAACAGGAUUAGAUACCCGAGUAGUC